GGGGACGACGGAGCAUCCGCCCGGGAAUGCCUACCGUCCCGUCCUGGUUUAUACUGGUGUAGGCAGCACGGUUCUUUGCCAUCGUAACACUGGAAAAGAUAACUGCGAACGAUAACUUCGCCCUCGCGGCCUAAAAAGGGCUCGUGACGUUCCGAUGGUGGGCCUUGAUUCGCGGCGCCCACCGGAACGACGCUAAAGCGGAUCAAUGGGUGCGUAUGCCUUGCGGCGCAUCCUGAUACAAAGCAAGGCUGGCUACCGUGCCAGGUUGGCCUUCUUCCAGAGCACGGAGGCGAGACUUAGGAUAGAAGGAUACACACGUAGAAGCUCCUGAGACGUGUUCUUCGGACGCGGGUUCGACUCCCGCCACCUCCACCA
rnacentral:tmRNA from 1 species